rnacentral:lncRNA from 1 species
AGGUGAGAUCACGUGAUGAUGGAGAAGGUCACCAGAGCCAGGCACCUUGUCCACACACAGGGCUUCCUUCCUCCAUGACUUAACCCAGAGAUGUAGACGGCGGGGUCAACAUUAAAUACCACAAACAGGCAAAAGAGCUUCAGACAGAAGGAUCAUCUUCCUGAAGACAAAAUAAUCAUCAUCCUUUGAGGGCAAAGUGGGCAACGUUAUGGGUAUGUAAAAUUGAGAAGCAGCUUUCAUGAGUCCUGAUUUAUUUAUUUAAAAAUCUAAAUUUAUUUUUUUCCUUAGGUAUCUUUUGUUUUGGAAUGGGACUCUACACUAUGGGAUUUCUAGUGGAGAGGACAGUUACCAGAGUCAGCACUGGAGGUAUGGGAAUUUCUAAGCUAGAGAACUGCAGUAGGGGAACUUGUUUGGAAUUGAGCCUUGAUUCUGAAAAGAAAGUAUCAGAGGGCAGCAUUUGAACUGGCAUUUAAGGUGUCAACCAGGGGGAAUUUGGUGCCGACCAGUAAAAGGGGAGAAUCAAAAACAGAAGCUCCAUCACCAGGGACAGGGCCAGACUCCUGACUAGAAACUCAGUGGAUGUGCUGAAUCAUUCGGAUACUUUCCAGAAAAUUAUUUUACCUACUCAGAAGGCUGGGCAUCAGCCAAAACUGUCUGGAAAACCACAAGGAAAGACAUUUCCAUGAAGUAACUAGAGUUUUGGGCUUCUACUCUAGAGGAAUAUAAGAGGA